GGUGGUAAUGCCGGAUGCUCCAGUUGAUCGCAUGGUCUUCUGGGAAAGCUUUCGCGGUAUGGGAUGGGGUCGCGUCCUAUCAGCUUGACGGCGGGGUAACGGCCCACCGUGGCUUCGACGGGUAGCCGGCCUGAGAGGGCGACCGGCCACAUUGGGACUGAGAUACGGCCCAGACUCCUACGGGAGGCAGCAGUGGGGAAUAUUGCACAAUGGGCGCAAGCCUGAUGCAGCGACGCCGCGUGAGGGAUGGAGGCCUUCGGGUUGUAAACCUCUUUUAUCGGGGAGCAAGCGAGAGUGAGUUUACCCGUUGAAUAAGCACCGGCUAACUACGUGCCAGCAGCCGCGGUAAUACGUAGGGUGCAAGCGUUAUCCGGAAUUAUUGGGCGUAAAGGGCUCGUAGGCGGUUCGUCGCGUCCGGUGUGAAAGUCCAUCGCUUAACGGUGGAUCCGCGCCGGGUACGGGCGGGCUUGAGUGCGGUAGGGGAGACUGGAAUUCCCGGUGUAACGGUGGAAUGUGUAGAUAUCGGAAAGAACACC
rnacentral:rRNA from 1 species